AGAACGAACGCUGGCGGCAUGCCUAACACAUGCAAGUCGAACGAGACCUUCGGGUCUAGUGGCGCACGGGUGCGUAACGCGUGGGAAUCUGCCCUUGGGUUCGGGAUAACAGUUGGAAACGACUGCUAAUACCGGAUGAUGACUUCGGUCCAAAGAUUUAUCGCCCAGGGAUGAGCCCGCGUAGGAUUAGCUAGUUGGUGAGGUAAAGGCUCACCAAGGCGACGAUCCUUAGCUGGUCUGAGGAGGAUGAUC
rnacentral:rRNA from 1 species